UAAUAAGUGUUUUAUGGCACUUUUUAAAUCCAUAUCCACCUUGUGUGCAAUGUCAGUCGAUCUUCUUCAUGGAGAUGACCAAACAUCAACCUUUAUUUUUUAACUCUUUGUCUGAAAAAUAUUAUGAAUUAACAAUUCAAAAUA
rnacentral:misc_RNA from 1 species